rnacentral:lncRNA from 1 species
GACAGCCGCGAACGCCGCGCUGGAGGGAGGGCGCACCGAGAGAGGGAGGGCGCGGAGAAAGGAGGGAGCUAAGAAGGGAGGGAGGGCAUCGAGGAGGGAGGGCGCGCCGAAGGAGGGAGGACGCAGAGAAAGGAGGGAGUAAGGAGGGAGGGAGGGCGCAGAGGAAGGAGGGCGAGGGUGUGAGGCCGCGGGGAGACUGGGGUUGGCCUGGAGGCCUCCCUGGCCUGGAGAGAGACGGCCGGGGUGCGGGAGGCUGGAUCGGGUGAGGGCAAACCCAGGGCAAGCGCUGCCUGUGAAUGGCUCCAAGAUGAGUAUGCCCAACGUUGCCUCUAGCACUGAUCCCACGCUCUCCUGGAAACAAUAACCAAGAAAGGCUUCUUUGCUGUCCCCGCGCGGUUAAAAAAAAAAAAAGUAUCCUUUUCUCUCUACAGAAACUCAAGAACAGGAAUAGAAGUCCAUCCUUCCAAUAUCCUCCCAUGCCCUCAUGGCAGUCAGGUGACCUAAAUUGACGAGCCUUUUCUCUGCCCCAGGCCGGCCUAUGCGCCCCAAACUGCUCCCUUAGCUCUUCCUCCUUUGCAUACCCUCUCUUAGCCUUGGAUAACUUCUCAGUUUCCGUUCUUGCUGAAGGCGCCAGGCAUCCUGUCUCCAGAGGAAACCCCUUCAAGCCUUUAACCCUGAUGCCGUGGGCUCUAGAAUUGCCUGGACUGCAAACAGUGCAGAAACCACCCUGCAGGACUGUCCAUUUCAGGAGUCAGCACAGUGUUACCCAGUUCCUAGCUUGAGCACCCUGGGGCUACAAGGAAAGUAUUAGAUCCAGUCCCCCUUCCCCCGGAAGCUUGCUAUCUAGUUGCAGAGAAGGGGUGGCGGGUGUUGUGCUGGACUCCCAUCAAGAAACAGGCGGCACAGGAUGUGACUAAGUGGAAAAAGAAGAAGGCAAAAGAAAAACUGCUCGGGGAGAAAGAACAACUGAAAUAUGUCUGGCAAGUUGAUUCAAGAAACAGUUGCCCGGCCUCCAAACCUGGAUAAGUCUUCACCAAACUAGGUACAAAGACAAGUUCUUGCUAAAGGAGGAUACAAUUGUCCAUUGUGCUGGAGAGUGAUCUCAUGGUGCUACGUGUGGCCCUGUUCUGGUGAAGAGUGGCAGACGUCACCCUUUCUGAGGUAGACUGAGAAGUGUAAGGAAGAAGACCCAGGGGGACACACUGGAAUGCGCUACAAGUGUAGGCUUGUGAAACAAGCAUUGUGAAACAACUCACUUGUCCUUCCCGGAGAAUGUUCCUCAGUAGUGGCAGAUGCUCUGGAGUGAGAUCUCGAAGUGAUCUGAUACCCCGGCGAUGGCAGAUGGCGAUCAAAUACAGGUCAUCAAGCUGUGCAGAGACCACAGGACAAAACAAGACAAUGCUAGUUUUAGCAAGGAGGCUACCAGCCAGGGCACUCCUACCCCCCAAGGCCAAUCCAGAAGACCCUACAGCAGAGCCAAUGAGCGGGUACCCGAGGUAUGUCUGCCCUGGAUGUCAAGGGAUAGCUGAAGAACAAGAUUUCUGUGUAUUCUUUGGAACUAGGUGUGGUGGUACACGCCUGUAAUCCCAGCACUCAAGCAGAAGGACUGAGGGUUCAAAGUCUCUCUGGGCUAUACAGCAAGACCCUUUCAAAAAAGAAAUUGAGAAAGGAAGAAAAACUAUAAAACAAAAAUUUCCAUCUGGGAAUGUUUACAUAAACUAAGGAGUUGACAGGAAGAGACGGGCAAGUUCUGAAAGCCAAGCACAAAAGUCUUUGUCCUGAAGAAUUUACAACUUCACUUAAGUGCAUGUCGUUCUCCUGUAUGAAAUAAAUGUUGCAUAAAAGCA